AUUGAACGCUGGCGGCAGGCCUAACACAUGCAAGUCGAGCGGAUGACGGGAGCUUGCUCCUUGAUUCAGCGGCGGACGGGUGAGUAAUGCCUAGGAAUCUGCCUGGUAGUGGGGGACAACGUUUCGAAAGGAACGCUAAUACCGCAUACGUCCUACGGGAGAAAGCAGGGGACCUUCGGGCCUUGCGCUAUCAGAUGAGCCUAGGUCGGAUUAGCUAGUUGGUGGGGUAAUGGCUCACAAAGGCGACGAUCCGUAACUGGUCUGAGAGGAUGAUACGUCACACUGGAACUGAGACACGGUCCAGACUCCUACGGGAGGCAGCAGUGGGGAAUAUUGGACAAUGGGCGAAAGCCUGAUCCAGCCAUGCCGCGUGUGUGAAGAAGGUCUUCGGAUUGUAAAGCACUUUAAGUUGGGAGGAAGGGCAGUAAGCUAAUACCUUGCUGUUUUGACGUUACCGACAGAAUAAGCACCGGCUAACUCUGUGCCAGCCGCCGCCGUAA
rnacentral:rRNA from 1 species